rnacentral:rRNA from 1 species
CUACGGGAGGCUCCAGUGGGGAAUAUUGCACAAUGGGCGAAAGCCUGAUGCAGCAACGCCGCGUGAGGGACGACGGCCUUCGGGUUGUAAACCUCUUUUAGCAGGGAAGAAGCGAAAGUGACGGUACCUGCAGAAAAAGCACCGGCUAACUACGUGCCAGCAGCCGCGGUAAUACGUAGGGUGCAAGCGUUGUCCGGAAUUAUUGGGCGUAAAGAGCUCGUAGGCGGUUUGUCGCGUCUGCUGUGAAAAUCCGAGGCUCAACCUCGGACCUGCAGUGGGUACGGGCAAACUAGAGUGCGGUAGGGGAGAUUGGAAUUCCUGGUGUAGCGGUGGAAUGCGCAGAUAUCAGGAGGAACACCAAUGGCGAAGGCAGAUCUCUGGGCCGUAACUGACGCUGAGGAGCGAAAGCGUGGGGAGCGAACAGGAUUAGAUACCCUUGUAGUC